CCUACGGGAGGCAGCAGUGGGGAAUAUUGCGCAAUGGGCGAAAGCCUGACGCAGCGACGCCGCGUGAGGGAUGAAGGUCCUAGGAUCGUAAACCUCCGUCAGCAGGGAAGAACGGUCACUGUGCUAAUCAGCAGUGAAUUGACGGUACCUGCAAAGGAAGCACCGGCUAACUCCGUCCCAGCAGCCGCGGUAAUAAGGAGGGUGCGAGCGUGAAUCGGAAUUACUGGGCGUAAAGCGCGCGUAGGUGGUAUGUCAAGUCAAGGGUGAAAGCCCCGCGCUCAACGGGGGAACUGCCUUUGAAACUGGCAGACUGGAGUGUGUUAGAGGAUAGUGGAAUUCGAGGUGUAGCGGUGAAAUCCGUAGAUAUCACGCAGAACCCCGAUUGCGAAGGCAGCAUACCGGUGCACAACUGACGCUCAGGCACGAAAGCGUGGGUAUCGAACAGGAUUAGAUACCCCGGUAGUC
rnacentral:rRNA from 1 species